AUCAACGCUGGCGGCGUGCCUAACACAUGCAAGUCGAACGAGGAAAGUGGCCGCCAAUCCAUGAGUACAGUGCGACCGGGUGAGUAACACGUGACCUAACCUAGCCCUCUGAGUGGGGAAUAACUCCGGGAAACCGGAGCUAAUACCGCAUAACAUCUCGGUCGGAAAGAUCAAAGCCGAACUGCGCUGGGAGGAGGGGGUCGCGGCUGAUUAGCUAGUUGGUAGGGUAACUGGCCUACCAAGGCAAAGAUCGGUAUCCGGCCUGAGAGGGCGCACGGACACACUGGAACUGAAACACGGUCCAGACUCCUACGGGAGGCCAGCAGUGGGGAAUUUUGCGCAAUGGGGGAAACCCUGACGCAGCAACGCCGCGUGGAGGAUGAAGUCCCUUGGGAUGUUAAACUCCUUUCGACCCGGACGAUACUGACGGUACGGGUGGAAGAGAAGCACCGGCUAAUCUGUGCCAGCAGCCGCGGUAAUACAGAGGGUGCGAGCGUUGUUCGGAAUUAUGGGCGUAAAGGGUGCGUAGGCGGUGCGGUAAGUUCACCUGUGAAAUCUCCUGGCUCAACUGGGAGCUUGCAGGCGAAACUGCCGUGCUGGAGUGUGGGAGAGGUGCGUGGAAUUCCCGGUGUAGCGUGAAAUGCGUAGAUAUCGGAGGAACACCUGUGGCGAAAAGCGGCGCACUGGACCACACUGACGCUGAGGCGCGAAAGCUAGGGGAGCAAACAGGAUUAGAUACCCUGGUAGUCCUAGCCCUAAACUAUGGAUGCUUGUGUGAUCGGUACCCAAUCCGAUCGUGGCCGCAGCUAACGCGAUAAGCAUCCCGCCUGGGGAGUACGGUCGCAAGGCUGAAACUCAAGGAAUUGACGGGGGCCCGCACAAGCGGUGGAGCAUGUGGUUCAAUUCGACGGCAACGCGAAGAACCUUACCUGGGCUCGAAGCGCAGUGGAAUCCGGUGGAAACAUCGGCGGCCGCAAGGGCCGCUGCGGAGGUGCUGCAUGGCUGUCGUCAGCUCGUGUGUGAGAUGUUGGGUUAAGUCCCGCAACGAGCGCAACCCUUAUCGUCUGUUGCUAUCGGUCAAUGCGAGGGACUCUAGCGAAACCGCCUCGGAUAACGGGGAGGAAGGUGGGGAUGACGUCAAGUCCUCAUGGCCUUUAUGUCCAGGGCCUACACACGUGCUACAAUGGUCCGGUACAAACCGUCGCAAACCCCGCGAGGGGGAGCUAAUCGGAAAAAGCCGGCCUCAGUUCGGAUUGGAGUCUGCGAACUCGACUCCAUGAAGCUGGAAUCGCUAGUAAUCGCAGGAUCAGAACGCUGCGGUGAAUACGUUCCCGGGCCUUGUACACACCGCCCGUCACAUCACGAAGUGGACUGCACUAGAAGCCGGUGUAGCUAACCGCAAGGGAGCAGCCGUCCAAGGUAUGGUUCAUGAUUGGGGUG
rnacentral:rRNA from 1 species